GACGAACGCUGGCGGCGUGCCUAAUACAUGCCAGUAGAACGCUGAAGGAGGAGCUUGCUUCUCUGGAUGAGUUGCGAACGGGUGAGUAACGCGUAGGUAACCUGCCUGGUAGCGGGGGAUAACUAUUGGAAACGAUAGCUAAUACCGCAUAAGAGUAGAUGUUGCAUGACAUUUGCUUAAAAGGUGCAAUUGCAUCACUACCAGAUGGACCUGCGUUGUAUUAGCUAGUUGGUGGGGUAACGGCUUACCAAGGCGACGAUACAUAGCCGACCUGAGAGGGUGAUCGGCCACACUGGGACUGAGACACGGCCCAGACUCCUACGGGAGGCAGCAGUAGGGAAUCUUCGGCAAUGGACGGAAGUCUGACCGAGCAACGCCGCGUGAGUGAAGAAGGGUUUCGGAUCGUAAAGCUCUGUUGUAAGAGAAGAACGAGUGUGAGAGUGGAAAGUUCACACUGUGACGGUAUCUUACCAGAAAGGGACGGCUAACUACGUG
rnacentral:rRNA from 1 species